AAAAUAUUUUCUCAGAUAUAAAAGUUGGACCUUGUUCUGUGCUGAAGCCAGAUCAUUGGCUAAGACUGAAUUCGUCUCCCGAAGAAGAAAUCAUCAUCGAAGAGUCAAAUGUUCUGUAGUCUCUUUGGAUUGCCCUUCCCCCAACAAACUGCACAAAUCGCUAGAUUUGGUUAUUUUCUUCUUCCU